GUCCAGAGGAAGGAGGCCAGCAGGACCUGGUGGGAUAGUCCCUGGAAGGCCAGGGCCCUGCACACAGACUGCAAGUCAACACAGGAGCUUUGCUGUCUGAAUAGCCCGGUCCCGCGUUCCCAGCUGUAUCUACUGAAGCAGGAGCUGCAGCGAGCCAACAUGGUUUCCUCCUGCGAGCUGGAAUUGCAAGAGCGGUCCCUGAGGACAGCCAGCGACCAGGAGUCCGGGGACGAGGAGCUGAACCGCCUGAAGGAGGAGAAUGAGAAACUGCGCUCGCUGACUUUCAGCCUGGUGGAGAAGGACAUUCUGGAGCAGAAACUGGACGAGGCGCGGGGGAGCCGACAGGAGCUGGUGGAGCGCAUCCACUCGCUGCGGGAACGGGCCGUGGCCGCUGAAAAGCAGCGAGAGCAGUACUGGGAAGAGAAGGAACAGACCCUGCUGCAGUUCCAGAAGAGUAAGAUGGCCUGCCAGCUCUACAGGGAGAAGGUGAACGCGCUGCAGGCCCAGGUGUGCGAGCUGCAGAAGGAGCGAGACCAGGCAUACUCCGCAAGGGACAGUGCUCAGAGGGAGAUUUCCCAGAGCCUGGUGGAGAAGGACUCCCUCCGCAGGCAGGUGUUCGAGCUGACGGACCAGGUCUGCGAGCUGCGCACACAGCUCCGCCAGCUGCAGGCAGAGCCUCCGGGUGUGCUCAAGCAGGAAGCCAGGACCAGGGAGCCCUGUCCACGGGAGAAGCAGCGGCUGGUGCGGAUGCACGCCAUCUGCCCCAGAGACGACAGUGACUGCAGCCUCGUCAGCUCCACAGAGUCUCAGCUCCAGUCGGACCUGAGCGCCACGUCCAGCCGCGAGCUGGUGGACAGCUUCCGCUCCAGCAGCCCCGCGCCCCCCAGCCAGCAGUCCCUGUACAAGCGGGUGGUCGAGGACUUCGGGGAAGAACCCUGGUCUUUCAGCAGCUGCCUGGAGAUCCCGGAGGGAGACCCGGGAGCCCCGCCGGGAGCUAAGGCGGGCGACCCACACCUGGAUUAUGAGAUCCUAGACACGGCAGACCUUCCCCAGCUGGAAAGCAGCCUGCAGCCAGUCUCCCCUGGAAGCCUUGAUGUCUCAGAGAGCAGCAUCCUCAUGCGGCGGCGGCCAGCCCGCAGGAUCCUGAGCCAGGUCACCGUGCUGGCGUUCCAGGGGGAUGCGUUGCUGGAGCAGAUCAGCGUCAUCGGCGGGAACCUCACGGGCAUCUUCAUCCACCGGGUCACCCCGGGCUCGGCGGCGGACCAGAUGGCCCUGCGCCCGGGCACCCAGAUUGUGAUGGUGAGCCGUGCAAAGCCCCUCCUGUCCCCUGGGCUCCUCAUGGGGGCAGCAGCAGCCGGUGGGGUGACCCAGGCAGACUUCACAUCCUCCAGACGAUGCAGAUCCACUCUGGGCUGGGCCCCUGCUCUUUCCUGGGCUGAUGUAAAGCGUUCCGCUCAUUUAUAGAUGAGAGUCGUACCGUGCGGAACCCAGCACACCACCCAUGGUGGCUGCUGCCAUGCGGCGCUUCUGACCAGGGGUCUUUGCAUGAGGCCCCUUGACAGGGCUGUUCUGGGUGGUCACUUUGGGUGUGUACAGUAAAAUACACGUGACAUAAAAUUCACUAUUUUAACCA
rnacentral:sRNA from 1 species